rnacentral:rRNA from 1 species
GUAGGGUGCAAGCGUUAAUCGGAAUUACUGGGCGUAAAGCGUGCGCAGGCGGUUAUGCAAGACAGAGGUGAAAUCCCCGGGCUCAACCUGGGAACUGCCUUUGUGGCUGCAUGGCUAGAGUACGGUAGAGGGGGAUGGAAUUCCGCGUGUAGCAGUGAAAUGCGUAGAUAUGCGGAGGAACACCGAUGGCGAAGGCAAUCCCCUGGACCUGUACUGACGCUCAUGCACGAAAGCGUGGGGAGCAAACAGGAUUAGACACCCUGGUAGUCCACGCCCUAAACGAUGUCAACUGGUUGUUGGGAGGGUUUCUUCUCAGUAACGUAGCUAACGCGUGAAGUUGACCGCCUGGGGAGUACGGCCGCAAGGUUG